UACAGAGGGUGCGAGCGUUAAUCGGAAUUACUGGGCGUAAAGCGUGCGUAGACGGUUAUUUAAGUCGGAUGUGAAAGCCCCGGGCUCAACCUGGGAAUUGCAUUCGAGACUGAAUAGCUAGGGUGCGGUAGAGGGAAGCGGAAUUUCCGGUGUAGCGGUGAAAUGCGUAGAGAUGUGGAGGAACACCGAUGGCGAAGGCAGCCUCCUGGGCCAACACUGACGCUCAUGCACGAAAGCGUGGGGAGCAAACAGG
rnacentral:rRNA from 1 species